rnacentral:lncRNA from 1 species
CACCAGUGAAAGAGGGGAAGUUGCUACUGUGAUGAAUUCUGCCAUGUGGUACCAGACUGCUGCCCAGACCACAGUGUCCUCUGCAACCCUGGUCAAAGGUGCCUACAUGUUCCUUCUAGCUUUGUUUCCCUGAUGUUCCUUGCCACCUGCUACUCCUCUCUGAGCUACUUUUCCAGCUUCUCAGAUGACCAAGAUGGUGCUGCCGAUGGUGUUGAGGACGGAGAACCCACCAAGCCCCGUUAGGAGCCACCUAGACUGGAUGCAGAGCACAGCCUCAGCACCCGCAGAGCAGACACUGCGAUAACAACGGAGGACACAGAAGUGCCCGCUAUGACUCCAGCACCAGGCCACGCCGCUCUGGAAACUCAAACGCUGAGCGCUGAGACCUCUUCUAGGGCCUCAACCCCAGCCGGCCCCAUUCCAGAAGCAGAGACCAGAGAAGCCAAGAGAAUUUCCCCUGCAAGAGAG